AUCAAACAACACAAUCAUUAAUUCAGCAUCCAAGUUCAUUCUCAAAUGUAGCACGCCAGAACAAACACAGGCAAGACAGACAAGGAAAGCACAAGUAGGUAGCAGUUACAGCAAAUAGUUCAAGUAGCAGUUAAGAACAGUUUAGCAAUUAGGCAAACCAAAACAAGUUCAAACCCAAGCAAAGCAUACAAAUGCAUAUGAUGCAUGCCUGUCCUAUGGCUGAUGAGGCUCAUCUGUCGGUUAUCCAGCCAACCCGACAAGUCUGAAUUGUCCUUAGACUGUCCCCCGACGUGCAUCCCCAAGAGUCUAUGCAUAGCUUUUUCUCAAAUAAUCAAUAUUGCUCAAUGGGGGUAUCAUUCCCGGGAAUUUAUAUAGUGCCCGGUCACCCUUACGUCGUAGGGUCAACAGAGUAUCGAGUUUUCAACCUGGUACACGUGGUGGCAAGCCACGGCACUUAAUCCAGGGAACCUCGUAUCUCAGAUAUUUCAAAUUCAUAAGCCAUAUAAAUAAUUCAUUCAUCAUUCAUCAAUAUCUAAGCCAUUCUCAAUAUCAUCAUCAUUCGUCAAUCCAUA
rnacentral:lncRNA from 1 species